rnacentral:lncRNA from 1 species
ACACGCGAGAAGGGCGGGACCGGGUCCAGAGGCAGGAGCAAGGACAGACCCAAAAGGAGAAGCCAAAGGAUGGAGUCUUGUGCUGUCACCCAGGCUGGAGUACAAUGGUGUGGUCUCAGCACACUGCAACCUCCACCUUCCAGGUUCAAGCGACUCUUCUGCCUCAGCAUCCCGAGUAGCUGGGACUACAGGUAUGUGCCACCACACCCAGCUAAUUUUUGUAUUUUUAGUAGAGACAGGAUUUCACUGCGUUGGCCAGGCUGGUCUCAAACUCCUGACCUCAGGUUAUCCACCCGCCUCAGCCUCCCAAAGUGCUGGGAACAAGUGUGAGCCACCGUGCCCGACUGGACUGGAAGGAUUUUUGCAAAUAACCUCAAAUACCACCGAUUACUUUGCUAUUUACAAUCUGUGAUGAAAACAUCCUCUCUUUUAACUAAGCAAAUAUAAACCUGCAUCAUCAUUAUUAUGAGAAUAGUAUUCUGAGCCAGGCAUGGUGGUGCAUGCCUGUAAUCUCAGCUAUUUAGAAGGCUGAGGGGGGAGAAUCUUUUUUUUUUUUUUUGGUUUUUAGGGGCAGGAUCUCCAUCUGUUGCCUAGGCUGGAGUACAGUGGUGCAAUCUGCAGCCUUGAACUCCUGGGCUCAAGUAAUCCCCCACCUGAGCUGGGACUAAAGGCAUGCACCACCUUGCCUGGCUAAUUUUAAAAUUUUUUGUAGAGAUGAGGUCUUGCUAUGUUGCCCAGGCUGGUCUCAAACUCCUGGCCUCAAGUGAUCCUCCUGUCUCAGCCUCCCAAAGCACUGGGAUUAUAGGUGCGAGCCACCACACCUGGCCAAGAGGAUCUCUUGAGCUCAGGAGUUUGAAACCAGCCUGGACAAUAUAGUGAGACCCUGUCUCAUAAAAAUAAUUAUAUUCUGUAUGUAGUAGGUACUUAAUAUAUACUCAUUAUUCAGUAAGCAUGAACUAUGAGCCUAGGACCACCAGGCUGUUGUGUGUGUGUAUGUAUGUGUUGAGAGUUGGUGGGAUUGGUAGCAUUCAAAGAAGUGAAUGGCCUGAAACUUGCCUUUGGGAACCUCCAGUCUGGCUGGAAAGACAAGAUGCUUAUGAAUGAAGAAACAGUGAUGAUGGAUAGGCUUGGAGCUGUCACAUUUCAGACCCAGAAAGCACAGCCUCAGCAAAAGCCCAGAGGUUGGGGUGAUCAUAACAGAGCUAGCACCAGCUUUGGGCCCACAUGGAAAGUUCUGAGACUUCAGACAAGCAUGUGUCAUCAUGGUGUCAAAGGGGUAAGGAGUGGCAGCAGUGGGGAUGGUGGGGAGAGGUAGGAAGGGAGGGAUGGGGAGCAGGGCCUAGGUCCCAUAACAGCAGCCCACUUACCUCACUACGAGUGAGCAGCGGUGGGAGGCUGCAGAUGGGUCUCAGGGCCAGAUGGAGGCGCUCCAUAACUGCUGCUGCAGGGAAGGAGGGGGCCAGUGACCAGGGGCCUCACAUUAUGCAAACUCCAGGGAGGCCCUUGGGGACAAAUCAAUGGGGGACACCAUUUGCUUUGCUAGAGGUCACUUUGCAGAAGUCACUGGAUUCCUUUAAAUCAGCAGCCCUUGCUGGGGUGCCUUGUUUAGCUGUGAAAUAUGUCACAAGUAACUUGUUUUUAAUAUUAAAUGACCAGGCUGGGUGCAGUGGCUCAAGCCUGUAAUCCCAGCACUUUGGGAGGCUGAGGCGGGCGGAUUGCCUGAGAUCAGGAGUUCGAGACCAGGCUGGUCAACAUGGUGAAACCCUGUCUCUACUACAAAUACAAAAAUUAGCCGGGCGUGGUGGCACAUGCCUGUAAUCCCAGCUACUGGGGAGGCUGAGGCAGGAGAAUCGCUUGUACCCAGGACGCAGAGAUUGCAGUGAGCUGAGAUUGCACCACUGCACUCCAGGCUGGGCAACAUAAUAAGACUCCGUCAGAAAAAAAAAAAAAAUUGAACGACUGAAGUUUUUAAAUAAAUCUGAACAGAUUCAAAGUUAUCCAUAUAAUAAUCUCUCUCUCACUUCUACUCCAAUGCUCUCUGGAGUAGGAGAGAAAGAGGUUGGAGUAACAGUUCUCAAACUGGGCUGCAUGUGGGACCAAUUUAAAAAUAAUACUUGUGAGAACCAGGUGUGGUGGCUCAUGCCUGUAAUCCCAGCAUAAGAGACUGAGGAGGGAGGAUCUCUUGGAGCCAGGAGUUCAAGACCAGCCUAGACAACAAAGUGAGACGCCCUCAUCUCUAAAAAAUUUUUGAAAAUAGCCAGGCAUGGAGGUGCAUGCCUGUUACCUCCACUACUCUGGAGGCUGAAGUGGGAGGAUCGCUUCAGGCCAGGAGUUCGAUACCAGCUGGGGUAACAUAGCAAGACCCCCAUCUCUACUAAAGUAUAAAAAUUAGCUGGGCCUGGUGGUAGGAGCCUGUAGUCCUAGAGGCUUGAGAGGCUGAGGCAGAGAAUUGCUUGAGCCCAGGAGGUUGAGUCUGCAGUGAGUUAUGAUCAUGCCACUGCACUCCAGCCUGGGUGGCAGUGCAAGACCCUAACUCUAAAAAAAUAAAAAAUACUGAUGCUUUCCUCCCACUUCCUCCCUGCUAAUCCCAAUUUAAUUGGUCGGUAGUGUGGCUGAGACAUUUCUCUAUUUUAAAAGCUCCCAGGUGACUGUGCAGUGCAGCCCUGGUUGAGAAGCACUGAAUUACUGUUAGCCCACUGGGAACUGGGAACGCCUUUACAAUCCUCUCCAAGUGCCAUCGGCCGUGGCUCAGGGCCGGGAGUACCAAUCACUGCGGCAAUGCUGUGCAUGAGAAGUUGCCCUGCAUGUGUUCCCUGGUGAACAAAAAUUUGCAACCCCCUGCUUUUAAUGGCAAGCCACUCGAUGCAUUUAAAACACAAGAGAUCCUGCCAAGGAGUCCCUGGAACACAGCUAUUUGGGACUGGAGGGCCACCAUCCCCUCAGGCUGGUCACUCCAUGUCUGAAGGCUGCUCUGCCUUCCAGCUGGGAGGAGGCCAUUGUAUGGGUGCUGGGGACAGAGGGAAGGGGAGCAGCCAAGACGCAUUGUCGGGGGUGGAGGUGGGAGCAGAGACUGACCUUCAGGGACAGGAGGAGAAUCUAGGAUCAAAAUGGAGCCUCCGUUUGUCCUAAAGUAGCCCUAACUUCAGGGUGACCUUGGGGGACAGAACAGCCCCAGGGUUCUCUCUCCUCCUGACUGGCAUGAGACCUCCCAGCAGCACCACAAAGAGCCCACCAAGCCCAGUUGUGAAUUCCGCCUCUCCGCCUCUCCCGCAUUCUCACUGUGGCACUUUGAGAAAGUCACUAACCUCUCAGAGCCUCGGGUCACCUCAUCUUUACAAUGGGCCCAUCAUAGCUGCCUUGCAGGUGGGACUAGGGUGAGGGAAGUGAGACACCUAGGGUGUGGAAUUUAAGGAGGCACUUGCUUCCGGCACCAGACAAGUGCAAACUCAGGCUUGGAGCUGCUGCGUGGCCUCCUUAAAUUUUGUGACCACAGUGCCUCACUGUCCUCACCCUAGUCCUGGUCCUGCCUGAGUUUCUUUUUCUUUUCUUGUUUUUCUUUUGAGACAGAGUCUCACUCUGUCACCCAGUCUGGAGUGCAGUGGCGGGAUCUCGGCUCACUGCAACCUCUGCCUCCUGGGUUACAGCAAUUCUCCUGCCUCAGCCUCCCAGGGAGCUGGGAAUACAGGCGUGCGCCACCACACCCGGCUGAUUUUUGUAUUUUUAGUAGAGAUGGGGUUUCACUGUGUUGGCCAGACUGGUCUGGAACUGCUGAUCUCAGGUGAUCUGCCUGCCUCAGCCUCCCAAAGUGCUAGGAUUACAGGCGUGAGCCACCGUGCCUGGCCCCUGAGUUUCAAUUAAGGCAAUGCAAGGUACACCUGGCACAUGGAGGGCUUUACUACGCACACUCCUUUCCUUACCUGUCAGGUAAACCCAGGAAGUAGGCACCUGGAUCCAGGGCUGGCUGUACCCCAGCUUCUCAAACUGCAAAGAAACACGACCUGGAGUGAGAACAAGUGGUUCAGGGGCUGGUGUGGAAAGACCACAUGCUCCCUCUACCGGGGACCAGCAGAGGUACCUCCUGUCUCCCCACCAACCCACCCCAGGGGGCAGACCCUGCAGCCAACCCCAGGCCUGUGCCAGUAUUGAAAUGAAAUCCGCACCUUGACC